AAACUGCGAUAAGUAGCGUGAAUUGCAGACGCUUUGAACGUUAAACUUUCGAACGCACAUUGCGCCCGCCAGUAUUCUGGCGGGCAUGCCUGUUCGAGCGUCAUUUCAACCAUCAAGCCCCCGGCUUGUGUUGGGGACCUGCGGCUGCCCGCAGGCCCUGAAAAACAGUGGCGGGCUCGCUGUCACACCGAGCGUAGUAGCAUACAUUCUCGCUCAGGGCGUGCUGCGGGUUCCGGCCGUUAAACGACCUUCAUAACCCAAGGUUGACCUCGGAUCAGGUAGGAAGACCCGCUGAACUUAAGC
rnacentral:misc_RNA from 1 species